CCUAAUUCCUAAACUGUUGGGACCUAAACUCCCAAAAUCAAUACCAACCUUCCUUUUGUAGUCAUUAACAUUGUGUUUAAAUUUCAUUGAUUUCUAUUUACUUAAACUAAAGUUAUUGUGCGAAAACCAAGAAUAAUGCUUAUUUGGGCCCUUUUUUGGCCCUUAAUUCCUAAACUGUUGAAACCAAAACUCCCAAAAUCAAUCCCAACCGUUCUUUUGUGGUCAUAAACCUUGUGUCAAAAUUUCAUAGAUUUCUAUUAACUUAAACUAAAGUUAUAGUGCGAAAACCAAGAAAAUGCUUAUUUGGGCCCUUUUUGGCCCCUAAUUCCUAAAAUGUUGGGACCAAAACUCCCAAAAUCAAUACCAACCUUCCUUUUGUGGUCAUAAACCUUGUGUUAAAAUUUCAUAGAUUUCCAUUCACUUUUACUAAAGUUAGAGUGCGAAAACUAAAAGUAUUCGGACGACGACGACGAAAACGACGACGACGCAGACGACGACGCCAACGUGAUAGCAAUAUACGACGAAAAAUUUUUCAAAUUUUGCGGUCGUAUAAAAAGAUA
rnacentral:lncRNA from 1 species